rnacentral:rRNA from 1 species
GGUUUGGUGGGACAWGGUGGUAAGAAUAACUGUGCAAGGCACCGGAGUUAUCGGCCUCAAAUGUGUCYUGUGCCCAUGUUACAAGUGGCACCAGUGGCAGUGUCGUUAUUGUYUGCCCGGUGUUGGGUCUGAUUGUCGUGUCGCCUGCGCAAAGUAGGCCCGGCAGUGGCUUGACUCGGGAUAGGCAGCGGAUGAUGUUGUCAGCACGGGAUGCAGUGGGCCUAAUAGUCAGUGGUGUAGUGGUAGACGAGCUACCCGACCCGUYUUGAAACACGGACCAAGGAGUUUAACAUGUAUGCGAGUCAAUGGGCGUUACGAAACCCAAAGGCGCAGUGAAAGUAAAGCUUCGACUUGUCUCGGAGUAAGGUGAGAUCCUGCUGUUACUCGCAUCAGCCUAAUGUCAGCAUCAGGYUAAAGAGCAGUGGGCGCAUCACCGGCCCGUCCCAUGAUGUGGUCAUUGGWRWUWRSGGKKGKUUCA